CACGAUCGUACCAACCAUAGUGGUCCUACCAGAUAUUUUAUGGUCACGAUAGUACAUAGUUAAAGUUGACUACUAACAGAUAUUCGCGUCACCAUUCUCUCAUCCACAAGGAGCAGUCAUCUUACAUCUUUUCAGAUCAGAUGGGGGAGGGAGAAAACAGAUAUCCCGGAUGAGAAUAGGGGAACAGAUACCCCUUAGUGAUAAAGAGGUUAAUGAAACACUUGAUGCGUUAUGCAUGUCAAUACAAAUACAUAUUUCGGACCAUUUAUGCUUCAUUCCACAUAUUUUUUUUUUAUUCCUUUUAUUUUCUAGAUAACCUUAUCGGUUUUAUAUUAUUAUAAUUACAUGCAAAUCAUCAAGUGUUUAUCACUCACAUAGCAUAUUUGAAAUUAAGAACAAUUCAACUUAUUAAGCUUACAAAAUACAAAGUAUGCAAAACCGGCAAAAUCA
rnacentral:lncRNA from 1 species